UGGGGAAUUUUGGACAAUGGGGGGAACCCCGAUCCAGGCAUCCCGCCUUGGCGAUUAAGGCCUUCUGGUUUUCAAACACCUUUGGCAUGUAAGAAAAGACAUUGGGUAAUACCCCGGGAAACCUACGGUACCUGCAGGAUAAGCACCGGCUAACUACGUUGCAGCAGCCGCGGUAAUACGUUAGGUGCAAGCGUUAAUCGGAAUUACCGGGGGUAAAGCGUGGCGAGGCGGUUCGGAAAGAAAGAUGUGAAAUCCCAGAGCACAACUUUGGAACUGCAUUUAUAACUACCGGGCUAGAGUGUGUCAGAGGGAGGUGGAAUUCCGCGUGUAGCAGUGAAAUGCGUAGAUGUGCGGAGGAACACCGAUGGCGAAGGCAGCCUCCUGGGAUAACACUGACGCUCAUGCACGAAAGCGUGGGGAGCAAACAGG
rnacentral:rRNA from 1 species